UAGGGAAUCUUCCACAAUGGACGCAAGUCUGAUGGAGCAACGCCGCGUGAGUGAAGAAGGUCUUCGGAUCGUAAAACUCUGUUGUUAGAGAAGAACACGAGUGAGAGUAACUGUUCAUUCGAUGACGGUAUCUAACCAGCAAGUCACGGCUAACUACGCGCCAGCAGCCGCGGUAAUACGUAGGUGGCAAGCGUUGUCCGGAUUUAUUGGGCGUAAAGGGAACGCAGGCGGUCUUUUAAGUCUGAUGUGAAAGCCUUCGGCUUAACCGGAGUAGUGCAUUGGAAACUGGAAGACUUGAGUGCAGAAGAGGAGAGUGGAACUCCAUGUGUAGCGGUGGAAUGCGUAGAUAUAUGGAAGAACACCAGUGGCGAAGGCGGCUGCCUGGUCUGUAACUGACGCUGAGACUCGAAAGCAUGGGUAGCGAACAGGAUUAGAUACCCUGGUAGUCCAUGCCGUAAACGAUGAGUGCUAGGUGUUGGAGGGUUUCCGCCCUUCAGUGCCGGAGCUAACGCAUUAAGCACUCCGCCUGGGGAGUACGACCGCAAGGUUG
rnacentral:rRNA from 1 species